rnacentral:rRNA from 2 species
GCGGGGGUCUAAUAAUGCAAGUCGAGCGAAUGGAUUAAGAGCUUGCUCUUAUGAAGUUAGCGGCGGACGGGUGAGUAACACGUGGGUAACCUGCCCAUAAGACUGGGAUAACUCCGGGAAACCGGGGCUAAUACCGGAUAACAUUUUGAACUGCAUGGUUCGAAAUUGAAAGGCGGCUUCGGCUGUCACUUAUGGAUGGACCCGCGUCGCAUUAGCUAGUUGGUGAGGUAACGGCUCACCAAGGCAACGAUGCGUAGCCGACCUGAGAGGGUGAUCGGCCACACUGGGACUGAGACACGGCCCAGACUCCUACGGGAGGCAGCAGUAGGGAAUCUUCCGCAAUGGACGAAAGUCUGACGGAGCAACGCCGCGUGAGUGAUGAAGGCUUUCGGGUCGUAAAACUCUGUUGUUAGGGAAGAACAAGUGCUAGUUGAAUAAGCUGGCACCUUGACGGUACCUAACCAGAAAGCCACGGCUAACUACGUGCCAGCAGCCGCGGUAAUACGUAGGUGGCAAGCGUUAUCCGGAAUUAUUGGGCGUAAAGCGCGCGCAGGUGGUUUCUUAAGUCUGAUGUGAAAGCCCACGGCUCAACCGUGGAGGGUCAUUGGAAACUGGGAGACUUGAGUGCAGAAGAGGAAAGUGGAAUUCCAUGUGUAGCGGUGAAAUGCGUAGAGAUAUGGAGGAACACCAGUGGCCGAAGGCGACUUUCUGGUCUGUAACUGA